rnacentral:rRNA from 1 species
UACGGAGGGGGCUAGCGUUGUUCGGAAUUACUGGGCGUAAAGCGCGCGUAGGCGGCUUUGUAAGUUAGAGGUGAAAGCCCGGAGCUCAACUUCGGAAUUGCCUUUAAGACUGCAUCGCUAGAAUCAUGGAGAGGUUAGUGGAAUUCCGAGUGUAGAGGUGAAAUUCGUAGAUAUUCGGAGGAACACCAGUGGCGAAGGCGGCUCACUGGCUCGACACUGACGCUGAGGUGCGAAAGCGUGGGGAGCAAACCGG